rnacentral:rRNA from 1 species
ACGCGUAGACAACCUGCCUAUAACAGGGGGAUAACCCCGCGAAAGCGGGGCUAAUACCCCAUGAUGCAGCGGCCCCGCAUGGGGACAGUUGUUAAAGUUUCGGUGUAAGCCGGAAUGGUUAUAGAUGGGUCUGCGUGCCAUUAGUUAGUUGGUAGGGUAACGGCCUACCAAGGCGAUGAUGGCUAGGGGGUCUGAGAGGAUGAUCCCCCACACUGGGACUGAGACACGGCCCAGACUCCUACGGGAGGCAGCAGUGAGGAAUCUUGCGCAAUGGGGGAAACCCUGACGCAGCCACGCCGCGUGCUGGAAGAAGGUCCUAUGGAUUGUAAACAGCUUUUAUUCGGGAAGAAAGUACGGGGUUUGCCCUGUAUUGACGGUACCGUUUGAAUAAGCACCGGCUAACUCCGUGCCAGCAC